rnacentral:tRNA from 1 species
GGGGGCUUAGCUCAUCUGGUAGAGCGCCUGCCUUGCAAGCAGGAGGUGGCGGGUUCGAGCCCCGCAGCUUCCACUA